CUCUUCUGAACAAUGUGCUACUGAAAGAUGAGUCAAGGUCAGAGAGUGAAAMACAGAAGUAUCUUUGAACAGAAGAUUUAAACUUCUUGGAAUCUUGGACCUUACAGCAGUCCAUUUAUCAAGCUCUCAUGUCUGGGUCCAUCGACAGCAUUAGAAGUUGGAAGACG